CAAUCCGCUGGUGGUGAUUUGGCUGACCGGCUUGCGGCCACCUAAAACAAGCAGCUAAAAGGUUGAGAGCAACUUCUC
rnacentral:ncRNA from 2 species